rnacentral:rRNA from 1 species
GACGAACGCUGGCGGCGUGCUUAACACAUGCAAGUCGAACGGAAAGGCCCUGCUUUUGUGGGGUGCUCGAGUGGCGAACGGGUGAGUAACACGUGAGUAACCUGCCCUUGACUUUGGGAUAACUUCAGGAAACUGGGGCUAAUACCGGAUAGGAGCUCCUGCUGCAUGGUGGGGGUUGGAAAGUUUCGGCGGGUGGGGAUGGACUCGCGGCUUAUCAGCUUGUUGGUGGGGUAGUGGCUUACCAAGGCUUUGACGGGUAGCCGGCCUGAGAGGGUGACCGGCCACAUUGGGACUGAGAUACGGCCCAGACUCCUACGGGAGGCAGCAGUGGGGAAUAUUGCACAAUGGGCGGAAGCCUGAGGCAGCAACGCCGCGUGCGGGAUGACGGCCUUCGGGGUGUAAACCGCUUUCGCCUGUGACGAAGCGUGAGUGACGGUAAUGGGUAAAGAAGCACCGGCUAACUACGUG